AACAUGUCUUUUUGCGAAUAAUUUAAGGUYUAAUYUGCUCCAUGAAAUUAAUUAAAUAGCUGCAGUAUUUUGACUGUACAAAGGUAGCAUAAUCAAUAGUUUUUUAAUUGAAAGCUGGAAUGAAUGAUUUAAUAAAGUAAAUAUUGUCUCAAAAUUAGAUAAAUUAAAAAUUUUAUUUUAGUUAAAAUGCUAAAAUGAUUUUAAAAGACGAGAAGACCCUAUAGAAUUUUAUAUUUUUUAUUUAUUUAAAUUUAAAUUAAAAAAUAAUUUUUAAAAAAAAAAUAUUUGGUUGGGGAAAUUAUUAAAUUUAAUAAAUUUUAAUAAAUUUUAAACAAAAAUUAUUGAAAAAUUGAUCUUUUAUAAAAAUUUAGAGAUUAAAUUACCUUAGGGAUAACAGCGUAAUUUUUUUGGAGAGAUCUUAUUGAUAAAAAAGUUUGCGACCUCGAUGUUGAAUUAAGAUAAAAUUUUAAUGAAGAAGUUAAAAAUUUUUGGUCUGUUCGACCAUUAAAAUCUUACGUG
rnacentral:rRNA from 1 species